rnacentral:lncRNA from 1 species
UCGUGAUCAAUAAAUAUGACUAGGUUUCCUCACAUGGGAUUUUCAGUCCAAAUAUAAUCCAGCAGUUUAGAGCUCAGCCUAGAAAACAUCCAUGUGAUGUGCUACCAGGUCAUUCAAAUUCAAUGGUUGUGUACCCAAAAAUAAUGAAAUAUGCAGAUGUUGCUUGCGCACAUUCACUAAUUUAUUGAUUACAACAAAGGAUAUAUGUGAUUUUAACUUAAUUAUACACUUUUUAGCCGUACAAGACUUGAUUGCAUGUCAAGAAGAAUCGAAAUAUGAUGGAUAAAAAAAACAAUCUCAU